CGCCCUUUUCCUGGAGUCCGCUUCCAGGCCGAGUCUUUCCUGACCCUCAGAGCGAAGGUCGUCCCAGCCGUGCGACCCCGCGAGGCGGACCGGCGAGCGCCACCCGGCCCGGACGGGUGCUGGCGGCUGUUGACGGGGACAGGCGACACCCGACUCAGUCAUCCUCCUCCUGCAGCCAUCCGCUCUUUCAGAGUUCCUGGCUCCUCUGCGCGCAGCAGGAGCUGCCCCGGUCCAUGCGGGCGGAGACGAGCGCGCGACCUGGAGAGCAGGGCGAGGACCAGCGGCCCAGCGCAGACACCCAGGCCUCGCGGCUCAGCUGGGGGAAGAACCGGGCCUUGGCCAGGGGUCCCGACUGGGGACGACUCCCAGACCCCGGGGCUGCCCCUGCAGCCUGUGCAGCCCGCAGCGAGUGACAGUCCCCAGCGAGGUACCUCGCGCACUCCCCUGAGGUGACACAGUCUCCCGUGAGAUGACCAUUCUCCUAAGAUGACACGCUCACCUGAGCUGACACACUCGCCUCUGAGGUCAGGGGCCGAGCCUGGGUCAAUGGUGUCCCUCCAGGCUGCACACAGUGGUCCGUGACCCUGGGACCAGCAAGACAGAUGCACCGCACCGUCGUCACAUAGGCCCUCGUCACAUAGGCCCUCCUCUUCCCUUGUCCUCGUUGUUUUGUAACUCCAGAGAUUUAAAGUGAGAGUCCUGGUCUUCCCUGAGACUUUGCUUUCCCAGAGGUUGUGAUCCUGUAGGAGAGAGGCACCCCUACCCCCGUUGGAGCCCUUUUGGCUCAGCUGGGCUUUAAUGUCCUUGACUCAAGUCUCCUGGCUGCAGCAGAAAUGAAACAAACACGGCCACAGAGUGCUUGUGCGUGAAGAGAAACCUUAAAUGGAAGCAAGUCUGAGCAGCAGGCCCUUACCAGCUUGGCCCUGUGAGCUGUGAAUGCAGCAAGGACAAAAUGGAGUUUGCUAUGUUGCCCUGGCUGACCUUGAACUCCUGGAUUCAAG
rnacentral:lncRNA from 1 species